ensembl:ncRNA T23C6.6 ncRNA
AGGAAUGCGUAGAGGAAUGGGUCGACGGCGGCAUUAAAGAACAGAAGCAGGAAACUGAUGGGUUGGAGUACACUUUGAAGGCAGUUCAAACAUCUUGGCGCUGAAAAGUUUGAUGUUUAUGAUCUUGGAACUUGGAGGUUCAGGUG